rnacentral:rRNA from 1 species
CCUACGGGAGGCAGCAGUGAGGAAUAUUGGUCAAUGGACGGAAGUCUGAACCAGCCAUGCCGCGUGCAGGAAGACGGCUCUAUGAGUUGUAAACUGCUUUUGUACAAGGGUAAACCUGAAUACGUGUAUUCAGCUGAACUACUUUACCAAUAAGGAACGGCUAACUCCGUGCCAGCAGCCGCGGGAAGACGGAGGAUCCAAGGGUUAUCCGGAGUUUGUGGUUUGAAAGGGUGCGUAGGCGGGUUGAUAAGUUAGAGGUGAAAUGUCCGAGCUUACCUCGGGAACUGCCUGUAAUACUGUUGAUCUAGAGAGUAGAUGAGGUAGGCGGAAUGUAUGGUGUAGCGGUGAAAUGCUUAGAGAUCAUACAGAACACCGAUUGCGAAGGCAGAUUACCAAGCUAUAUCUGACGUUGAGGCACGAAAGCGUGGGGAGCAAACAGGAUUAGAUACCCCUGUAGUC